rnacentral:rRNA from 1 species
GGGUAACCUACCCUAUGCUGGGGGAUAAGCUCGGGAAACUGAGAAUAAUACCCCAUAGUCCACUACGCCUGGAACGGUGAGUGGAUCAAAGCUCCGGCGGCAUAGGAUGGGCCUGCGGCGUAUCAGGUUGUAGGGGGUGUAAUGUACCCUCUAGCCAUCUACGCGUACGGGUGUUGGGAGACAUUGCCCGGAGAUGGAUUCUGAGACACGAAUCCAGACCCUACGGGGUGCAGCAGGCGCGAAAACUUGGCAAUGCGAGAAAUCGUGACCAGGGAACUCCAAGUGGCAGGGGUAAGACCCUGUCUUUUUCCGACUCUAAAUAGGUCGGCGAAUAAGGGGUGGGUAAGGACGGUGCCAGCCGCCGCGGUAAUACCGGCGCCUCAAGUGGUAGUCGCUUUUAUUGGGCCUAAAACGUCCGUAGCCGGUCUGGUACAUUCGUGGGUAAAUCAACUCGCUCAACGAGUUGAAUUCUGCGAGGACGGCCAGACUUGGGACCGGGAGAGGUGUGGGGUACUCUCAGGGUAGGGGUAAAAUCCUGUCAUCCUGAGAGGACCACCUGUUGCGAAGGCUCCACACUAGAACGGAUCCGACGGUCAGGGACGAAGCCUAGGGGCACGAACCGGAUUAGAUACCCGGGUAGUCCUAGGUGUAAACGCUGUGGACUUGAUGUUGGGGACGCUCCGAGCGUUCUCAGUGUCGAAGCGAAGGUGAUAAGUCCACUGCCUGGGGAGUACGGUCGCAAGGCUGAAACUU